rnacentral:rRNA from 1 species
UGGGGAAUUUUGGACAAUGGGCGAAAGCCUGAUCCAGCAAUGCCGCGUGUGUGAAGAAGGCCUUCGGGUUGUAAAGCACUUUUGUCCGGAAAGAAAUCCUUGGCUCUAAUACAGUCGGGGGAUGACGGUACCGGAAGAAUAAGCACCGGCUAACUACGUGCCAGCAGCCGCGGUAAUACGUAGGGUGCAAGCAUUAAUCGGAGUUACUGGGCGUAAAGCGUGCGCAGGCGGUUUGCUAAGACCGAUGUGAAAUCCCCGGGCUCAACCUGGGAACUGCAUUGGUGACUGGCAGGCUAGAGUAUGGCAGAGGGGGGUAGAAUUCCACGUGUAGCAGUGAAAUGCGUAGAGAUGUGGAGGAAUACCGAUGGCGAAGGCAGCCCCCUGGGCCAAUACUGACGCUCAUGCACGAAAGCGUGGGGAGCAAACAGGAUUAGAUACCCUGGUAGUCCACGCCCUAAACGAUGUCAACUAGUUGUUGGGGAUUCAUUUCCUUAGUAACGUAGCUAACGCGUGAAGUUGACCGCCUGGGGAGUACGGUCGCAAGAUUAAAACUUCAAAUGAAUUGACGGGGUCAUAGCUGUUUCCU